UACGUAGGGGGCAAGCGUUGUCCGGAAUCAUUGGGCGUAAAGCGCGUGUAGGCGGCCCGCUAAGUCCGCUGUGAAAGUCCAGGGCUCAACCCUGGAAUGCCAGUGGAAACUGUCGGGCUGGAGUCCGGAAGAGGCGAGUGGAAUUCCUGGUGUAGCGGUGAAAUGCGCAGAUAUCAGGAGGAACACCAAUGGCGAAGGCAGCUCGCUGGGACGAUACUGACGCUGAGACGCGAAAGCGUGGGGAGCAAACAGG
rnacentral:rRNA from 1 species